GCCUGGGUGGCUCAGUCGGUUGAGCGUCUGACUUCAGCUCAGGUCAUGAUCUCACUGACUGUGAGUUCGAGUCCCGUGCCGGGCU
rfam:Felis catus isolate Cinnamon breed Abyssinian chromosome X, whole genome shotgun sequence.